GGCGACAUCGGUAAGGCGGGGUGCAAAUCCUUUUUCCCCAGUUCAAAUCUGGGUGUCGCCU
rnacentral:tRNA from 1 species